rnacentral:rRNA from 1 species
UACGGGAGGCAGCAGUGGGGAAUAUUGCACAAUGGGCGCAAGCCUGAUGCAGCCAUGCCGCGUGUAUGAAGAAGGCCUUCGGGUUGUAAAGUACUUUCAGCGGGGAGGAAGGCGAUGUGGUUAAUAACCGCGUCGAUUGACGUUACCCGCAGAAGAAGCACCGGCUAACUCCGUGCCAGCAGCCGCGGUAAUCGGAGGGUGCAAGCGUUAAUCGGAAUUACUGGGCGUAAAGCGCACGCAGGCGGUCUGUUAAGUCAGAUGUGAAAUCCCCGGGCUUAACCUGGGAACUGCAUUUUGAACUGGCAGGCUUGAGUCUCGUAGAGGGGGUAGAAUUCCAGGUGUAGCGGUGAAUGCGUAGAGAUCUGGAGGAAUACCGGUGGCGAAGGCGGCCCCUGGGACGAGACUGACGCUCAGGGU